UUUUCUUUUUCCUUUUCCUUUUCCUUUUCUUUUUCUUUUUCUUCUUUUUCUUUUUCUUUUUCUUUUUUUUUCUUUUCUUUUUCUUUUUCUUUUUUCUUUUUCUUUUUUCUUAGCAUGUGGUAUUGGAAACCCACAAUUGGAAUAAUGUCUUGGGAUUGAUCCAUGUGUGGAGCUUGAUAGCCCCAAGACACCAAGCAUUUCAAACCCUCAUCCAUAUUUCAGCACGUGCCUGAAGCUGACUGGGACCAUCCACGCAUUAAGAACUAAGCACAUGCUUACAUGCUCUGCUGAAAAAUGCCCUGAAUGUGCUGCAAGACUUGAGUUUGCCUGGAGGAAUAUGUCAGAGGGCUGCCUGUGUCAAGCACCCUGAAAUUACAGAAAGUGCAGUCCUUUGCUGCUGAGGCUCUUCUUUCAGCUCCAGGAGCCCUACCAUGAUGCCUCGGGUAGCCCUUGCUUCACGCUGCCCACCCAGGCGCACCCGUAGAUGGUUCAACAGCAGGCCGAUGCAUAAAGCAAGACAUAAAGCAAGCAACCUUCCCGUUUCCUGGAUCUGAGAAACUCAGCCUUGCAUACGCUGACUGUAUUGGACUGCCUGCAAAGCUGGUCAUGCUGUCCAAGCAAGGAGCCAGGUCCCACGGUCCUGCUCUGAUUCGUGCCCCAGCAGCUGCAGGACACAGCCCUGUAGCAGAUGCCAGCCCAACUCGCUGAACAGGGCUGUGCUUUGUGCUUGCACCCAUCAAAGGCAAAGAGGAGGGCACAGAUAACACAGAGACCCAGAAGAGCUGAAGGGUGUAAGGAGACCUCCCAGCACAGCUCUCCACCAGCUGCCCCUACUAUAAACUAGCGUGUGUGCUGCCCUCUGUGUGUUUAUUUCUCUCCGGAGGAGGAGGUGGGUCAAGAAGCCUGGAGCUCGCUCCAGGCCACCCACAGAACAAAGGAGAGGUUGUCCUUCCCCUGAAACCCAGGACAGAAGCAAAAUUGCUUCCUCCAGAGCAAGCAUAUUUGCUGAACAGCUGAACCUCACUGGACUGGAUCCAGCCCUCACUGAAGGGAAUGGAAAAGAACAGCACAGCCAGCUGGACCGCUUAUCCCAAACCAGGCAGGGUUCGGCAGCCUGUGGAUGGCCCCACAGGGCAGGACUCUGCAGCUGGGGAGCUGUGAUCGGAGGACAUACAGUGGUCUUUGUAGUACAUGCAUGUAAUGCUGCUUCUGAGUUUAUUCCUCGUGUCUCUGGAAGAACCAGCCUUUUAUGUCCUUAAAAUGCUACACUCCCACUUCUCCUCCCUUGCCACUGGGCCACAGGUUUUAAAAGUAUAAUUUGUCUGAUAAUACAGUAGCAUUUGGUCCUCUUUUUCUUUAAGUGAAAAGUUUCUUUACAAAAGGGAAGAGAAAAGCACAGACUUAUUCUUAAAGAAUCCCAAGAACUUGUCAAAAACAACUACAAAGUUAGGGCAUGGAUUUAAACUUUACUUGUUUUUCUACAGCUUUUUGCAGAAAAGGUGAAGUGUCAACAUUUGCUUUGAAUAUCCAGACUGUGAGUAUUAAAU
rnacentral:lncRNA from 1 species